GUCAACAUUGACAAAUUAUAACAUGCCUUGUUUUUUAAUACAUUUUAACAGAUCAAAUUGAGUGGAGCAUUUCUGGAGGGGGCUGGGUUAACACUUGGGGAGGAGGUGGAACAAGUGAAUGCCUUCCUCUCUAGGAUAGCAGUUACGACAAAGCACAUGUCAAAAGCAGGUGAGUUGGCCACAUAGUAUAAACUUUGGUUUAGGAAAUAGGCAAAAUAGUGAUAACAUCAUAUUUUCUGUUGUAGGGCGUACAGACAUGUUAACACUCAUGGCUUUGCGGUGGAAUGAGCAGAAGAUGAACAACUUGGCCACCUACCUGUUCCGCAGAUAUUUUAAAUGUCUUUGAAGUGAAGACAAGGAAGUGGAGUCGAUGAAGGCCGAGUUGGCAGCGACCGAUGGGCAAUUCGAAGACUGGGUCAGGGAUGUGAAGGAUUGGGCAGAAACAACAACCAACAACACAACAGACGCUGCUGCCUUGGCCAGGAAGAUAGAGAUGCUGGUUGUGAGUGUAAAGAGACGCUCCCAGCGACUUUANUAAGACUAUGACUCCAACAAAGGUCGUGGCAGGAUCCGCCGGAAGAUCAGGCAGGAGAAAGGGAUCUCGACAGUGUCAUGGCGGAACGGAGACUUCAUGAAGAAAAAACGAUCCUUUUGUGAGAGAUGAACCACCACUGGAGUUCGUGGGGAUUCCUUAAAAGAGCUGUCUUCUCUGAUGACUAGGACAACAAUGCAAGGUAUGUUUUUAGAUUUGACAUCACAUG
rnacentral:lncRNA from 15 species